UACGUAGGGUGCGAGCGUUGUCCGGAAUUAUUGGGCGUAAAGAGCUCGUAGGCGGUGUGUCGCGUCGGUCGUGAAAACUUUCAGCUUAACUGGGAGCUUGCGGUCGAUACGGGCAUCACUGGAGUUCGGCAGGGGAGACUGGAAUUCCUGGUGUAGCGGUGAAAUGCGCAGAUAUCAGGAGGAACACCGGUGGCGAAGGCGGGUCUCUGGGCCGAUACUGACGCUGAGGAGCGAAAGCCAGGGGAGCAAACGGG
rnacentral:rRNA from 1 species